rnacentral:lncRNA from 1 species
CGACCUCAUUUCAUGGAUCAGUGAACAAGGUUAAGUUUUGGUGGUCAAGUCCAUAUCUCAGAUACUAUAAGCUAUAGGUCUUGUAUAUUCGGUGUAUGGAAGGACUGUAAGGUGUACAUGUCCAACCGGCAGGUGUCAUCUGACCUUGACCUCAUUUUCAUGGUUCAGUGGUUAUUGUUAAGUUUUGUGUUUUGGUCUGUUUUUCUUAUACUAUAAGCUAUAGGUCUUGUAUAUUCGGUGUAUGGAAGGACUGUAAGGUGUACAUGUCCAACCGGCAGGUGUCAUCUGACCUUGACCUCAUUUUCAUGGUUCAGUGGUUAUUGUUAAGUUUUUGUGUUUUGGUCUGUUUUUCUUUUACUAUAUGCAAUAGGUCUUCUAUAUUUGGUGUAUGGAAGGAUUGUAAGGUGUACAUGUCUAGCUGGCAGGUGUCAUCUGACCUUGACCUCAUUUUCAUGGUUCAGUGGUUAUUGUUAAGUUUUUGUGUUUUGGUCUGUUUUUCUUAUACUAUAUGCAAUAGUCUUCUAUAUUUGGUGUAUGGAAGGAUUGUAAGGUGUACAUGUCUAGCUGGCAGGUGUCAUCUGACCUUGACCUCAUUUUCAUGGUUCAGUGGUUAUUGUAAGUUUUUGUGUUUUGGUCUGUUUUUCUUAUACUAUAUGCAAUAGGUCUUCUAUAUUUGGUGUAUGGAAGGAUUGUAAGGUGUACAUGUCUAGCUGGCAGGUGUCAUCUGACCUUGACCUCAUUUUCAUGGUUCAGUGGUUAUUGUUAAGUUUUUGAGUUUUGGUCUUUUUCUAAAUACUAUAUGCAAUAUGUUAACUAUAUUUGGUGUAUGGAAAUAUUUUAUGAUCUAUAUAUUAGUUGUGCAGGUUUUAUUUGGCCUUGACCUCAUUUUCACGGUUCAUUGCUCAGUGUUAAGUUUUUGUCGAGCCUGCAACUUUUGUUGCAGAAAGCUCGAUAUAGGGAUAGUGAUCCGGCGGCGGCGGCGGCUACGUCGGCGGCGUUAGCUCACUUCUUAAAAGCUUUAUAUUUUAGAAGGUGGAAGACCUGGAUGCUUCAUACUUUGUAUAUAGAUGCUUCAUGUUACGAAGUUUCCGUCAGUCACAUGUCCAAUGUCCUUGACCUCAUUUUCAUGGUUCAGUGACCACUUGAAAAAAAAGUUCAAAUUUUUUGUAAUGUUAAAUUCUCUCUUAUUAUAAGUAAUAGGAUAACUAUAUUUGGUAUGUGCGUACAUUGCAAGGUCCUCAUGCCUGUCAGACAGUUUUCACUUGACCUCGACCUCAUUUCAUGGAUCAGUGAACAAGGUUAAGUUUUGGUGGUCAAGUCCAUAUCUCAGAUACUAUAAGCUAUAGGUUUUGUAUAUUCGGUGUAUGGAAGGACUGUAAGGUGUACAUGUCCAACUUGCAGGUGUCAUCUGACCUUGACCUCAUUUUCAUGGUUCAGUGGUUAUUGUUAAGUUUUUGUGUUUUGGUCUGUUUUUCUUAUACUAUAUGCAAUAGGUCUUCUAUAUUGGUGUAUGGAAGGAUUGUAAGGUGUACAUGUCUAGCUGGCAGGUGUCAUCUGACCUUGACCUCAUUUUCAUGGUUCAGUGGUUAUUGUUAAGUUUUUGUGUUUUGGU